rnacentral:rRNA from 1 species
UACGGGGGGGGCAAGCGUUGUUCGGAAUUACUGGGCGUAAAGGGCUCGUAGGCGGCCAACUAAGUCAGACGUGAAAUCCCUCGGCUUAACCGGGGAACUGCGUCUGAUACUGGAUGGCUUGAGAUUGGGAGAGGGAUGCGGAAUUCCUGGUGUAGCGGUGAAAUGCGUAGAGAUCCGGAGGAACACCGAAGGCGAAGGCAGUGUCCUGGCGCGUAACUGACGCUGAGGUGCGAAAGCCAGGGGAGCGAACGGG